rnacentral:ncRNA from 1 species
ACCCAGGAGCAUAUAUUGUAGAGGCCCGAACGAUGGCUUGAGCAGGACAGGGUGCAACACUAGGGGCGAGAGACUACCCGAACUAUCUACAUAGUAGCUGGUUCCCUCCGAAGAUUCCCUCAGGAUAGCUGGAGUUGACAGACGUGUUGUAUCAGGUAAUGCUGAUGAUCAGGGUCCUUUAGGGGCAAUAUGCUGACCUGAACCUACGUAAGUGGGUAUGAAAGGGGGCGUUGCUUCGGUGAACCUCCAUGGCAACCGCGAAUUCUUAGUGGGCCAGUUUUGGUAUGUAAGCAGAACUGACGAUGGGGGAUGAACCGGACGUCCGGUUAAGCUGCUAAAGUGCUCGCUCAUGUAGAUCCCAUGAAAGGCGUUGAUUCAUCAUCCAGACAGCAGGACGGUGGCCACGGAAGUCGGAAUCCGCUAAGGAGUGUGUAACGACUCACCUGCCGAAUGGAUUAGCCCUGAAGAUGGUGCUCCAACAGGCCACCGAUACCGGGCCAUUUCUGCGCGUGCCUAUGCAGAAAUGAGUAGGAGGACGUGGAGGUCCUUGGCGACAAAUCUCUUGGCGUGAGCCUGGAGGAAUAGGCAUCUAGUGCAUAGAUCUUGGUGGUAGUAGCAAAUAUUCAAAUGAGGACUUUGAAGACUGAGGUGGAGAAACGUUCCGUGUGAAGAGCAUUUGGACACGGAUUCGUCGACCCUGCCUGGGAGCUCUCAACGACACUGAACAGGCCGACUUUGCUGCUCGGCAGCGUUCGAAAGGGAAUCAGGUUCAGAUUCCUGAACCAGAUACAACAAUAACGGGGUCAGCAUCGGUCGAGGCGCAUCAGAAGCGCAUGACGGCCGUCGCAAUAGUAGUCGCAGAUCUGCCCAUGUGCCGUAAAGCC